rnacentral:misc_RNA from 1 species
GCAAGAAAAAAAUGUGGUUCCUGUCAAGGAGAAGAAUUGCACAAUAAGCUUCAAGGAAAGACUGCAAUAGGACAAUCAAGCCAGUAACCUCCACAAGAAAAGUUCCCUCUCAGAGCUGCAUAUAAGCCCAGGAGCCAUCCAACAUGGCCACUUGAAAUUAAAACAUCAUGCCAUGCAGGACCGGGCUACAAGUAUUAUAGAUAGUCAAUAAACAUACCAUGCAUCACAAAAAAAAAAAUGUUUAGCUCAAAAUCCAAACUAUUCCCAUCCAUUGCUUCCAGCAUCAGGUAAAAAAAAAAAAAAACUAUAUGAAUAAAAACUGGCCAACUGCUGUUCAAAUAUUGUUUUGUAGAUCUCUAGAAGGAUGUAAGUUUGUAAGGGAACAAGGAAGUGAAGCAAAAAUGGAAUACUAUAAUCCACCAUGAAGACACAAACACACAAUUAUCACUCCCUAUGCAUGACUUGAUGUGUAUUGUCAUCUUCAUUCUCUAUAUAUACACAAUCUUAAAAGGGGAAAUUCAUUACCUGCACCAAUGUACACUCAGACCUCUUUGACAAAGAACUGUCUGCUCUAAUUCCAGGUGAAAAAACAUCCAUACCAGUUUUUGUGCCAGCAGUCUUGUACAAGAAAUCCCAGUUCAGAAUUUGAAGCAUGAGACGCAGUGCAGCAGUACAGACCUUAACCUCAGGUACCUCAGAAUGAGAUUCAGUUAUACUCUUUGUGACACCAACAGCAGUAUCUCGUGCCCAACAGUAGAAUGUCUUAAGAUAGUCUAGCUCCAAGGACAUCCGGCAUUGCUCAUGAAAUUCCCGAGGAAGACCCAUGGCACUAGAAGUAGAAGGUGAGAACUCAGACACCAAAGAUUCUAGGAAAUUAAUUCCAGAGAACUGCACAUCCACACCAUGAAUGCCAAGAAUAGCCUGGUUCACCUGAUAAAAAAAAGUCUCCUUUUCAACAGCUGUAAAAUCAAGCCAGCCCCUCUUGAUCAACUGAGCAGCCACAGAAGAAACCUUGGCUUGGACAUAUCCCUCAGGCGAACUAGCAUGUUGCAUAACAUAGUAAAGACAAAAACUUAUCAAGCUUUUCUUGUCCUCAGUAGUGAGGAAACCCCACUCCCUGAUAGCAGCAUCUCGAAUUGCUGCAGCCGCUUGAAACCUCGCAUUUGCUACUUGAGAAUUCUCAAGAAUGAACUGGCAUGCCUUGUAUGGCUGAGGCGACUGAUUUAGCGAUAGGAUAGUUGCCUCUGCGGCUGCCGGAUUCAUAUGCAUCUGAAUAGAAGAGCAAGCGAACUCGAUGGCCUGCAUGGUGGACUGGAGCUGGGCUAAAUCGGCGGAGCCUCCUUGCUGCUGCAUCAUCUUAUGCUUCUGUAGAGUAGAUGAAUCCACAAUCUAGAUAGAAAAAGGAGAUGGGUUAUUGACGAAAUCAAUGGCGCUUCAGAGUUCGAUUAGAUUGAUGGUUUUGCUAGCGUUAAAGGUAAUGAAAAGAGGGAUAGAGAAAGUGGAACUGUAAAAGACCAUGAGUGAGAAGAAGAGAAUCGGCACCAAUUGAGGCUGAAAGGAGAGAGCAAAUCCUCAAGAAAGAGGAGCUUUCACCACUCAAGGCGGGGCUUCU